UGCAGGGCUAAGACUACGGAGGU
rnacentral:piRNA from 1 species